rnacentral:lncRNA from 1 species
UAUUGGUCUCUUAAGUUCCAUUUAUUAAACUUUUUUCAAUAUGAUCAAACUAGACAAACAUAUAAAAUGAAUGCAUAAAAGCCAAAAGUACUGAAUAACCUCAUAGCAUAAAUAAUCCAAGUUAGUCCUUAAUCAUUACAAGUAAACACAUCCUAAAAAAUGAUAAAUUAGCUCAUAAUGAGCAAUAAAGACACCAAUAUUGAAACAAUAACUGAGUUUAGAGCCAUUACAAUGAGAAACCAAAUUUGAAAGCUUGUGUAGUGAACUUUCACUCUAUUGACUUGGCUGAUCUAGUGUUGUAGUGGUGGAGCAAACACUAUGGAAGUGAAGGUGAGCUUGAUGAAAUGGAAGUGCAUGGAUUGAUGUGUGUCUCUUUUCUCUAAAAGCUUUAUUUAUAUUUCAAUAGAAAUGAGAGACACAUGGACCAACCCUACUUAAAUACCCUAACUAAGUGAGUCUAAAUUCAAGUAUGAGAUAACUCUUAUUUCUAAGAGUUAUCAUGCCCCGAAGGAGUAUAUAUACACAUUUUGCAAGUAAGGUUUAUAUAGCAAGGUCAUUAGGGUUGAUAAUUUUCAAAAGGACAAAGUUUAGGUUGAUCAAGUGGACUAAUUAUAUAAUUAAGGUAAUUGGAUUUAGCCUAUAUUUAAUAGUUAUUAGAUCAUUUAAAACUUUAUACAAUAGAUAAUUGAUUAUUACCUAACCGAUUUAAUAAAAAAUGACAAAUUUAUAAUUUUUUUAUUGUUAAUUGAUUAAAAUAAGUCAUUUGAUCAAUUAACAUUGUUUAAAUUUAAAAUAAAAUUGUGACAACAAUGUCUUUGAUGAUGGAUUUUGUUUGAUCAUGAGACUUCCUCAUCAUAAACUUAGGGUUCUUCCCAAAUUAAAAUGUUACAUAAGAGUAGAUAUGAGUUUUGGGGUAGAGGAUCUACUAUUUAUAUAUGGUCAGUCGAAUGUGUGACUUGUUGUAAUAAUGUCUUUAGUAAAAAUGGUGAUAUUAAAUUUUUGAAGUCGAACUUAUGUUUAGGUUCAACAUCAUAUCAAUAAAUUUUUUGGUUGAAUAUUUUUAAGUUUCUUAAUUUUUUUGAGAGAGUUAAUGAAAAUAUGUAUCAAUACUAAUAAUUUUCUCAAAAAUUAUUCUAUAUUGAGUUAUUGUUUCAAUAACCUUAAUUCAAGUUUAUAACUAUUAUUAUUUAUUUUUUCUUAUUACAUAAAUUUUUAUAUUAAAAGCAUUGAUAAUAUUAAAUUUUUAAUUAAACUAUUUUUCAAAUACUCUCUAAAAAUAUCAUGAUGUAUCUUUAACUAGUAUAAGUGACCCGUACCAAGCACUCAGUUUUUACUAAUAAAAAUAUACAUCAUUUUAGAUAAUGAUAUGAAAUUCUAUUUGUGUUAUUAUUUUUUAAUAAUUCAGUAUAUUGUAUUCGGAAAGGUAAUGAAAAUAUAUAAUGUUUUCAAAAUUGAAUGACACAAAUUGAACCACCACCAAUGCUUAAGUUUAGUGGUAUAUUAUAAGCCUCAAAUUAUUCAUUAAUUGAACUUAUUUAACUAUAACUUUAACAAUGGUAAUUAUCUUAGUUAGUUAUUUGGAAAUCUUGUGUAACAUACCUAAUUUCAACAUUUAAAAUUUUACUUCGACUUAUCCUAGGAGCAUAGUCUCACUUAUAACCUCUCUCACAAACUUGUGUUAUUUGUGCAUGUUUUAUAUUAAUAUAAGAAUAUUUAAAAUUUAACCCCAAUGAUGUGGUUUAGUAGUAAAAAACAAAUAUUGAAUUUGAUAUUUUUGUGAGUUCCAUCUCCAUUAGUACUAUUAGAAAGAAAAAAAAAACAAAUGUAAUUUAUUUGUAAAUAUUUAAUGAUUCUUAAGUUCUUUUCAAUUAGAAAAAAUUACAUAAUAACAAUUAUAUUUUUAUAUGUUAAAAAUAGAUUGAAGAAGAAAGGGAAAAAAAAUUGAGGAUAAGAGACAAAAUGAAAUAAAAAAAAGGAAAAACUAUAUUAAGGAAUAUUAUGAGAUUCAAUUCGUACACCUCCCUCAAUCAGCCCAAGGGAUAAUUUCCUUUUGAGGAAAUUAAUUUAGAUAUUAUCUUUUUUUUUUUUUCUCUUUUGAACUCUAUGAUUUUAAGGAAAAUGUGUUGUGAUAAUAUAGAAUUUGAUUUGUAGGCAAAUAAAAUUUGAGUAAAGAUUAUUUCAAUUAUGAUUCAAAUUUAAAUAUAUGUACGAUUUGUCUUUAAAUAAAACUCAUUAUACAUGUGAUUUUAAUCAAUAGAUUAUGUAAUCAAUGUGCUAUAAUAAUAUGAAAUUCAAUUUGAAGAUAAGUAAAAUAUAUUCAAAGAUGAUUUCAAUUAUGAUUCAAACUCGAAAUUUUCUAAAUCAUUAAAUUUUAUAUGAAAUUCACUAUAUACUUGAUUUUAAUUAGUCGGCUAUUUAAUUAGAUCUUCCAUAAAAUAUAAUGAUUUAUUUCAAAAUUGAUUAGAAUAUUAAAUACUACAUCAUUUAAAAAAGUUAAGGACCUUACAUCGAUAAAUUUCACUUUCAAAAUUUAAAUUACUGUAAUAUUUCUAUUACAAUUUCCAUUCAUUAUUAUAUUGUUUAGAAAAUAGUUUAUUUUGUUUUAUGUUAAAUAUUCAAUUUCUUUAGAUUUAAAUAUGUUUUUGCUUUUAAGUCCUGUAAUUUAUUUAUUUAUUUAUUUAUACCUUGCAAAUUCUAUUAAGAUUUUAAAAAAAGUCUUUUAUGAAAUUUUUUUAGUAAAAAAAUGGUGACAUGGUUAAUUUUGGAUGAAGUGGCACAUGGUGACUAUAUAAUAAUUGUUGACUAGAUAAUAUUUAAAAUUAAAAUUCAUUUUAUUAACUUAUUUAAUUAUUUAAUUAAAAACUUAAAACUAAUUAAUUAAUUAAUUAACCAAUUAAAUAAUAAAAACUCAAUAAUCUUCAUCUUCAACCCCAAAUUUUUUAAUAAAAACUCAACAAUCUUCAUCUUCAACCUUCAUUUCUUUAUUUUUAAAUUACAAAUUCUCAUAUCUAGAUCCAAACCCUAAAAAUUAUAAUAUCUCAUUUUUCUUAUACCACACCUAUAAUAUUUGCCUUAACCACCAAAGACAUAGAUAAAUAAGCCAACUAACACACCUCUUUUCUUUUAUUUUCUUUCUCUUUCUUUCUUUCUUUCUUCGUCAAAGACACUAAAAACAUCUUUUGUUUUUCUCUUGUCUGAUUUUCUCUCCAAACUAAUCCAGAGAACGACCGACGAGCAUAAUCUCGUCAGAGAUUCGCCUAUACUCUUUAUGUUGCCGGAAAAAUCUAUUUUCUCUCUCUUCAACUUCUUAAUUUUGAUUUUUUUGCCUCUACCUUCUCGAUAAACAAACUUUAAUCUCUAAAUAAAUUUGCGUUUUCCUUUUCUUUUUGAUUGAAUAUAUCUGAAAUAGCAAUGUGGAGGAAAAACGAUUUUUUGUUGCAGAAAACAACCUAUGUCUUUGGUGGUUAUGACAAAGAUUAUAUGUAUUGUGUAAGAAAAAUGAGAGAUUAUAAGUUUUAGAGUUUGGAUCCAUAUAUGAGAAUUUAUGAUUUGAAGAUGAAGAAAUUAAGAUUCAAGAUAAAGGUUGUUGAGUUUUAAUUAAAAAAUUUGGGGUUGAGGAUGAAAAUUAUUGAGUUUUUAUUAUUUAAUUGGUUUAUCAAUUAAUUAAUUAGUUUUAAAUUUUUAAUUGAAUAAUUAAAUGAGUUAAUAAAAUGAAUUUUAAUUUUAAAUAUUAAGUAUUAUCUAGUCAACAACACAAUUACAUAGUCACCAUGUGUCACUUCAUCCAAAAUUAGUCAUAUCACCAUUUUUUUACUAAAUAAAAUUCAUAAAUGACUUUUGUAAAACUUAUUAGAAUUUGCAAGGACUAAAAUCACUAGGACUAAAAUUACUAGGACUAAAAUCAAAACAAAACUUAUUUACAAGAACAAAAAAAAUAUUUAAACCAUUUCUUUAUCUAUAUUAGUGUAUAAUUUAGACAAUAAUAUAUUUUCAUAGAAACGUGAAUAUUGUUAUCUUACCGCUCAUAUAUUAUUAUUUGAAAAUUAGAAUAUUUUUCUAUGUUUAGUUCAAUAGAAGAGAGAGUGGAAGUGGAAAAAUAUUUGGUUUAAAAGAGAGAAGGAGAUAAAUUUUUAAUAAUAUUUUUAGUUAUAUAUAGUCCCUCCCCUAACCUUCCCUCCAUAUACCUCUGACCAAAUACACCAUUAACCUAAAAAUUUGUUAAAAAGAAAAGGAAAACAACUCGGGAGACAUAGACCUAACCUAAGAAAGAAGAAAAAGAAAAAAAAGUAUCAAAAACAUUCCUCAAAUCAUGUAAGUUUUCUACCCCUUGGUGGAAAUUAUAUGCUAUAGAGUUCUUCUAUAUUCUUUUUGUGUCAUAGAAAUGACCUCUAAAAAAGGCUCUUCACCACUAGUAUAAUGAUUCUAAAAAUUAAUAUUUGUUGUCUUAUCGUUAUUUCUACAAUUUGUUUUGCUAACAUCUAUAUUUUUAUUAAAAAAUAUUGCUAUAUCUCCAAGUCAUGAGCAGUCUUGGGAUAUAAAUUAUCGUUAGUAACAAUAACAUUUAGAGAUGUCGUACUAGACACUGUAGCUUUUGAGUUGACUUUUAAAUCCGAAGAGAUUUGAUGAUUUUGAACAUUUUUUUUCCUCUGAUACUAUAUUAUUCUAAGAAUCAACAACACAUAUAUACAAAUAUUGAUAAUCCUCUUGUAGAUGAUACAUGUUGGCUGAAUUAGACACGCUGGAACCAAAGAUCUCUUGAAUUAUAUUUUUAGAACCUUGUGUAGCUUGGACCUUAGAUUCUUGAAAUUCUUUGUAAUGGUUUCUAAUUCUCCAAAAUUAAAUGAGUUUGAAUCAUAAGUUUCUUCACAAUUUUUCUCAAUUUUUUUUUUUAUCAGAGGAAAAAAAAUCUUGAAAAACAACAAUGUCUCUUAAAUCAAAGUUGGAGAUAUGAUCAACAAAAUGAGAGUUAACAACAAUAUUAUUACCUUGAAUGUCUUUGUAUGAAUAUUUUGUUUCGACUUUGUCUAGAGCAAUAAUGUUAUUGCAACUCACCAAAUCUAAUCAAUAUUCAUCUUCUGAAAUUUUGAUGGCGAAUGUCAACUAUUUGAUACCGAAUUUUGCUAUGGUGAAAGGAAUAUUGCAUAAAUUUUAAAAAGUUUAUACAAAAGAUUUGAAUAGGGGCAAGUGAGUGUUAACUGACUCAACAGCUUGUUGAAAGAAUAUUGUUGCAAUAAAUGUUAAAAAAUAUUAGUGUUUGAGAAUGAUAUCUUGAGAAUAUUUU